rnacentral:lncRNA from 1 species
CCCGAUCUACCGUGCCCGCCGCGAGAUGAUGCCGGAGGCUGAUGGCUUGGACCCUCUGUCGUCCAACAUCUAGGUUUCUUUUUUCAGAGAACAAGUUUCUUUUUGAAACUUUCACAGAACAAGUUGAACCGAGGAGAAGGAGAGGAGUGCGCGACUUUGCGGGUUGGGGACGGAGUCUAUUGAUUAGUUGCACUUUUGAUUUUAGGAUGUUGUGAACUCGUCCCGUGUUUGGUUGAAGGAAUUGGAAACACAUAUUGGAUGGCAUGAUAACACCGUUAGUGGGGGUCCCACUUGCCACCAGUGAACCUCACCUAUCGAGCUCCCACCUAUUUUUUUCUUUUUUCUUUUUUUCUCCACUUUAUCUUCUUCCUCAAGCCCAUAGAGGACGUGGACGUGGAGGACCUGCCAGGGACGGCAGGCUCGAGCCCAUGGAGGACCUACCGAGGCUCCUCGUCCCGGUGCUGCUCGCGCGCCUCGCCACCGCCGGGCGAGGGUGGCCUUGCCGCCGCACCACCUUCGCCGCGGGGACGAGCAGGGUCCGCUGCG